AUAAAAUUUUUUCGAAAGAAAAAUCUGUUCUUAUCAGUUUAAUAUCUGAUACGUGCCCUACCCGGGCACCAUAUAUUAAAUUGAUUUUUGGAGCUGGGAGAUGGAAUAGGGGCUUGCUCCGUCCACUCCACGCAUCGACCCGGUAUUGCAGUACUUCCGGGAACGGUGCACCCCCC
rnacentral:snRNA from 12 species